rnacentral:lncRNA from 1 species
ACACAGUAAAAUUCAGAGGGUAAAAUUCACCCCAGUUAAGGUCAAAAUUUACUCGCUCUGCGAGAGUAACAAUCUAUGGGGCAGAAAUUACCCUAUAUCUAGGGUAACAAUUACACCAUUGGUUGACCAAUGGGUAACAAUUACACCAAUCUCGGGUAACAAUUACACCAAUCUCGUGAUGGGUAAAACUUACCCCCUUAAAAGGGUAAAGCGCUCUUUUAUCCGGGGUAGAAUUUCGCUGGGGUAAUAUUUACUCUGUUGAAAGUUCCCGGUCACGCGAUGUUUCAAAAUGGCGUCGUAUAAUAUUGCCAAUUUUAAUCUAUUUUCACAAAGAGCUUAUUGUAGAAUGGUUCGCCGAGAAGGAAAUCUUUAUCAGAGUACGCUUUACAUGGUAAGUUAAUUAAAGAGCCAUUUUGUGCCCUAAGUUCAACGACUAAAGCUUUGCUUUAAUCAUGUUUUAAUAUUCUUAAGAGUGGCAAAUGACAGUUUAUAUGAAGCCGUGUUCUAGCCGUAAAUCGCUUGUCACGAUAUCAACUCCUAAUGUUUAGGCCAUAUAAUUAAUCUUGCCUUGUCAAAAAGGUUUCUAUUUGUUAUUCUUGUUUCAUUUGGUCAUACCCUCUUGCUUUAAGCGCUAUUAAAAGAGGUUAGUAUUAUUUCUUGACAACCGAUUGAGUCAAGAAAAUACGACAAUAUUGUCAAUAUACAACAGAAAAUAGGCUAUAUCAAGAAGGACAGGCAGUCAGACGGUACAUAAACCGAAUAUUUACAAUGUCCAAGUAAUACUGUCCAAAAUAUUUAAAUUUUGAUUUAAUAUUGCUGUUGACCAAUAAUCCAAUAUAUUUAUAGAAUACAAUUUACAUCAUUACAUGGAGUUAUAAGUAUAUAAGUUUGUUUAUUUGCACAAAUGCAGAAUAUUAAAAAUAUAGUUCUUGUUAAAACACGAGGUUGAGUUAGCAAUGUCUAGCACCAGACAAGUUUACUUGCCAAGGAGACAGCACUGGCACUCAAUGAAUUAAUUGACCUGUCUGCCUAUGUGACUACAAAGUAUCCCAUUAAGUUGUAUUUGCACCCUACUCUAUCAUUUUACCCUGUCUAUCACCAGACAAUUUUACUCGCCAUGGUCAAAAAUAUGCAUGUCGACUUAAUGACAAAGAUGUGGUAAGAAAUGCUUUCCCUACCAUGGCACUGGACACUUCAGAAAAGUUCAUUUAACUGCAAAGAGUUGUUAGAUGGUUUUCACUAAUAUAAAUGACAAGAGCUGAUUGCCUAAUUGUAUUGGGAGCAUAAACAUCUAUGGCUGGAGUAGAAAAAGCCAUUUUGUGUUGUAUUUAUAUUUAAAUUUUAUUUAUAGAAAUGAUGGCUACAUGUAUCAGCAAGGCUACUGUAAUGCACAAAAUAUAUGUACCAGCUUGGGACAUGCCUGUAGUUGGUUAAAGAAUCAAUCUAUUCUGAAUAGACAAUUAAAAACCUACAAUUUUGUUUCAAUUACUGUAAGCUGUUGUCUACCAAGGUGAAAGAAAUCAAUGAGGAUUUUCUCUAAAAUUAAAUUUUGACCAUAAUUCAUUCAUAAGUUAUUUUAGCAAAUCAUGUCAACCAUAAUAUGGUACAUGAAAUGGUUUCAUAAUCAUACCCGAUGAAACUAAACAUCAUUCUAACUAGUAUUCUGUUCAUACAAACAUGAUGCAUGGUAUCUGGGGGUAGGGAUAGAACCUGCCAGAUAUGGUAGGGUAUGUGUGUGCGCAUUGAUCUAUGGUCAUGAUUUGGAGUGCAACCUGUUGGCCAAGUUCAUAAUCAUUUGAAGCUAUGAACAACAGUGUUCCGUAGAAUGGGUGAAACAUUGCCCUGGAAUGGGCUGGAAGGGUCCAGGGUGAAUUAUUGUGGUAACAUUUAGUGACAAGAUAUUGCCCUUCCAAAUUGAAAUAAUGGGUUUGAUAUUAAAAUUGGCAUCCCCCUUUCACCCACCCCUCUUUGGGAGUGUGCACCCCUCAGUAAAUCUAUCCCUGUCUGGGGGUAUGUAGCCCAUCCACUUUGUCAUCCACCACACAGUAAUACAAAGUCUAGGAUACAGUAUUUAUAUAUUUACUCCUCUAUUUAUUGCAUACGUUUCAGUAAAAUGCUCUGUGUAUUCAUGGACAAGGUUGGCAUUGGUUAUCAUGGCUUUCACAAGUUUUCGCUCAUGAAACUAUUUCAUAAUUAAAAUAGUAGACUUUAGUAUACCUAAUUGGGUGUAAUAUUUAAAGCACGUUUAGGAGUGUAUGCUGUAAUUCAAAUAAUACUUUACAUGCCAUCUCAUUAGUGUUUGUAUGUAGGGUAUACUAAUUAGAGAGAUAUUUAGUUUCAUUGGGUAUGAAACCAAUUUCACGUAACAUACACGUAUUAUGGUUGACAUGAUUUGCAAAAAACUUAUGAAUUACGAGUGUUUGAAUUAUGUUUAAUAUCCUCCUUACUCCCACGCUUUAUAAUCAUAUUUCGCGUUUUAAUUUGACACCAGUUUAUCCGUACCCUUCCGUACCAGGCACCAUCAUGAUAUUUGAAAAUAUGUCAUGCACAUGCCUAUCCACGUGUCUAGUUUACACCAAUAAGAGGGUGCGAAAUUUUGGCGCAAAGUACAUGGAUCUAAACUAAAAGACAGUUGAUAAUUGUGCUCUAUCUCGCUCGAAGCAGUUCGGUACUGAAGUACAUAAACAUUCUCCGCUUUGCGUCUGGGAUAUCCUCAAAGGUCAAAGUGAAAGCUACUAUGUUACGCGAACUGUAUCAAGAUUCAGUACGAUUGUAGAAGGUAAGCUCAAUUAUGCUUUUAAUAUAAAUAUGUAUUCGUGUUUACCCAUACACUUGGCUCUAAGAUAUCAUGUCUUAAAUCGUUAAAUCGUAGAACCAUUUUGUUCUGUUGUCUAACUUUGUCCACUGUUUAUGUUGCUCUUCCUAUUAUUGGAUCUAUUAAAAGUACAUGGUAAUUGCAGUCUGCGUUCUUGUUCAAACUAAAUAAAAUAUAAUUGCAAAAUAUCUUGGUGCGCAUUCACGCAAUUAUUCGCGCAAUUAAAUGAUAUAUUUAUUGUUCAUAUAACCAAUUGCCGCGUACUACACUAAUUAUCGUAUGUUUAUUGCGUUAUUUACAGGGUGCGCAAAUAUAAAUUGCUGAAUGAUAUACUGUAUAUUCUACACAGAAUGCAUGUAAGUAAAUCGGCCUCAUUUGGCGCUCGUUCAACUUGCAUCAGUGGAAAUUUGUUUCACGCCUUUAUCACUGGUACAUCAUUUAAUUCUUGUAGGAGCUAUAGUGUACACCAAAGCUUGCGUCAAACACGUUACGAAAUCUUUCUCGUAUUCAACAAGCAAACGUGGUCGUUGUGCAAAGGCUUUUUUGUGUAUUAUGUACAGUAUUAUCUGGGUGUCAAAGGAAUUUGAGCUUGCCUUUUAGUUUAGUUUAGGUAUGCCAAAUAUGUUGCGUGCUUGCCUGAAGGUCACGGUCACACUAAAAAACGUACAUGUUGCUUGCUAUAUUUUGCAAUAAUUUUAUAUAUGUACUGUCUAUGCAGAAAGCGGCUUUAUACAGUACUCGCUGUAUAUCGAUUAUUAACGAUUCAGCCAGAUGUAGAAAUAGGCUCGAUAACUAAAAAAAUCGUAAGUCAACAAUAUGUCAAUAUACAGUACUUGAACAGAAUUCGUUGAUUGCAUGCCAUACCAACUAAAUUUUGUUAUUGUAUUCGGUUGCAUGUGCGCAUUUUGGGUUCAAGCAAGCAUUCUAGCAUAACUGUCACCGCGAGUCUGCGACCUUACAAAGUAAUUAAAGAUUAUAGAUUCAAUACCUUCGCUUCAAAGCAUGUCCCCUGGAUUUUCUAGCAAGUGGACAAAUUCCCCCCCUGGAAAGUGACUCAUAACAAAUUUCAUUCCCUAUCUGCCCCCAACUCAUUAAAGUUCAACAAUUAUAGCUAAAAAUACAAUCUAAUUUCAGGAAUGAUGAAAGUUUUUCCCAAGACAAACAUAUUAAAUGAGGAAAAGAGUCCCAAAGAUAAAAAUCUGGUGUUCAUAUAAGGUAUAUGUUAAGUUUAUCAUUUACAGUAUUCAAAUAAAUAUUAAUAAAAUUAAUCGAGCUAUAUCAAUAAUAAUUAAUUAAGUGGAUCCCUAAAAACCCAACAUUCAUGAAGUCCAAAAGAUCACCUCUGGAACUGCCAACAUAUAUGGGAAAGAGUUUAAAAUCAGACAUUCACUUAUCACAAGUAUCUACAGUAUAGUAUACUGUAGGUUAGACCUGCCAUUUUUAUAAUAGUAUAAUAAGAAUUAAUAAAAAUAAAAUAUAUUAACAUAAAAUAGAUAAUAUUUUCCCAUUUUAAACCUUAUUGCUAAGUGUUAUCUCUCUCUCUGUUCUCUACGACCAUACUAAUUGGCAUGGAUUUUGAUGCUGUAUAAUAACAGUUGAAUAAUAUAUAGGAUAAUAACAGUUGAUAAUAUAUAGGAUUUUGAAAUGUCUCUAUACAUGCUGAAGUUUUGAGUUGGCACGACUUGAAACAGAACGUGAGGCGGCACGCCUUGCGAAGUAUAGGAAAAUUUUAGCGAUCUUAUGUAUUAAAUAUGCAUGUAUAUUGACUGGCGUACAUCAAGUUUUGUUGCCAUGCUGAAUUUUUGGGUUGGCACGACCUGAAACAGAGCGUGAGGCGGCACGCCUUGCGAAGGCGACAAUCCUUGUUAUAUGUCAAUACGUCAACAAAAAUGCAUGAUUUUAAGAUAGUUCAACAGAACUACCAUUCAAAAACCCUUUAUAUAUAUUAAAGUUUUUUCGACACGUUGGAGAGAACUGCAAGAAAUAUACCACUUAUCCGGAAUUAUAACCAUUAUACAGAUUGUUGUAGAUUAUAUAGUAUAUAACUAUUAAAGAUUGAUCCCCAUACAUGGAAAAAGUGUGGAUUAAUUAAAUUAGGAAAAGAGUCCAAAAAUAUAAAUCUGGUGUUUAGAUAAGGUAUAUAUUUUAAGUUUAUCAUGCUAUCAGCAAAUAAAUAAAAUAAUAUUAAAUUAUUAAUAAAAUUAGUCUACAGAUAUUAAUAAUAAUUAAGUGAAUCCCUAAAAAACCAACAUUCAUGAAGUACCUUCUUUGGAACUGCCCACAUAUGGAAAGAGUUUAAAAUCAGACAUUCACUUUAGUAUCUAUAGUAUAUAAUAGGAUGGACCCGCCUGGUGUUAGAUGAAUUUUUAUAAUAAGAUUGUAUAAUAAGAAUUAAUAUUUUAAAUAAAAUAUAUUAACAUAAAUAGAUAAUAUUUUUCAGUUUUAGACCUUAUUACUAAGUGUUGUCUCUCUCUGUUCUCUAUGCCCAUGUAUACUAUGAACUAUACUAUACUAUAUAUAUAUAUAUAUAUAUAUAUAUAUAUAUAUAUAUAUAUAUAUAUAUAUAUAUAUAUAUAUAUAUAUAUAUAUAUAUAUAGUAUAUAUAGAACUGCUCUUAGUACUCUGAUGAAGGUUGCAGUUAGCAACCGAAAAUUUAGAAAUUUUUUAGACUUUUUAUUGUACAUAUUCUAGUAUUUUAAAAAGAAUUUUAGACCAGCUUCAACUCCAAAACUAUCAUAUAUAUAUAUAUGUGGAAAAAGUGAAUGUGAACCGCUCACAGUCUGAUGAAUCCCCCCAUGCAUACGUGCAUUAUUAUCAUGACAUGAACUCAAUGACAAUGCAUUUGAUGUUAUUUUUAUCUUAUGUAUAAGGCGUACGUGCAGCUUGGGAAACACUAUAUACAACUGCUUCAGUCAGCCGAAGGAUGGGGUUAUUGAAUAUCGAACAGUAAGUAUAUAUAACUAGUGCUUUAAUUACACGCCCCAAACCUCGGUAAAGCAAGAAUUUACAGCUAGGUUUUGUUAUCUGGUGUGAUAACGUUUUUACGCCUGAAUUUUGCAUAAGGGUUUUGUCUUCUUAAAUGUUUCGUUUUAUAUGAACAUUGCCAAAAUGAUAUUAAUUUGAAUAGCAGUGCCCAGUUCACAAAAUCCGAAAGAUCCCCAAACCAAAGCAUACAUGUAGAUACAAAAAUCUUCAAAAUUUGGAAGUAUAAGAGUACAUUCGUGCAAGAAAAUAACAAUUUUACCCUCUGCCUUUUAGAGAAAUAUUGGAAUUGCAAACUUUGGUCAUGCACAUUUUCAUUUUGGUUGCUAUCCAGAUUGAUGAUUGAAGACCCUUGCAGUAUAUAUACAGUACUUAAAAUCCAGGAGCAAGAAUAUCUAUAUAUACAGCGUGUCAUAUAAAACAUGCAUGCAUUGUGCUUUCCCCGUGAUUAAGCCUAUAAUUUUAACUUGUGUAUGUCUGUAACUGUGUAUAAAAACAAGAUGAAACAAAUGCUUUGUGAAACGUGACUAAUAAAAUAUAUGUUUAUGUUUUAAAUAUUUGUGUAUAUAGCCUAUAAUUGUGAAAGGCAUCCUAAUUGUUGGAGACAAUCGUGCAGCAACCAUGCAGCGUACCAAGGAAUUAUGCUUAAAUUUGCAGGUCGAAAGUGCUAUUGUAGCGUGAAUUGUGAAAGAAUCUCUUCGUGCAUAGAGUAGAAAUUACACUAUUCCAUGGUGGGCAAAUUUUACUCUACCCGUAUUUUUACCCUCUAAAAUGGGGUAAUUUUUAGGACAAAACAGUUACCCUCGUUUUUGGAGUAAAAUGUGCUCCUUAAUCUUCGAGUAAAAUUUACUCCCUACUGAAAGUUACCCCAAAAAACUGGGGCGUUUUUAGGACAAAAUUUUACCCCACUUCUUCGAGUGACUUUUACCCUUUGAAUUUUACUGUGUAC